rnacentral:rRNA from 1 species
UAGGGAAUCUUCGGCAAUGGGGGGAACCCUGACCGAGCAACGCCGCGUGAGUGAAGAAGGUUUUCGGAUCGUAAAGCUCUGUUGUUAAGGAAGAACGAGUGUGAGAAUGGAAAGUUCAUACUGUGACGGUACUUAACCAGAAAGGGACGGCUAACUACGUGCCAGCAGCCGCGGUAAUACGUAGGUCCCGAGCGUUGUCCGGAUUUAUUGGGCGUAAAGCGAGCGCAGGCGGUUAGAUAAGUCUGAAGUUAAAGGCAGUGGCUCAACCAUUGUAAGCUUUGGAAACUGUUUAACUUGAGUGCAGAGGGGGAGAGUGGAAUUCCAUGUGUAGCGGUGAACUGCGUAGAUAUAUAGAGGAACACCGGUGGCGAAAGCGGCUCUCUGGUCUGUAACUGACGCUGAGGUUCGAAAGCGUGGGUAGCAAACAGG